CGAUGCGGUGGUGCCGAGGCACAGGGCUGGCAGGGCUGGCCGCGCUGCUGCUGGCAGUGGCUGUGGGAAGAGCCCAGGUGCUGCAGGAGCCGUCAGCAGAGACCACCGAGGGCAUCGGCAUCAACAUCACUUGCUCACACCCCAACAUAAAGUCUUACGACUACAUCUACUGGUACCGUCAGCUCCCGGGACGAGGCCCCGCGCUGCUCCUGAGCGUUCACAAAGACUCCAAAGAGCUGCGGGACCCGCCGGGGCGGCUGUGGGUGUCGGCAGACCGCCGCUCCAGCGCCCUGUGGCUCGCCCGGCCCCGGCGCCACGACGCGGCGGUGUAUUACUGCAGAAACAUCCCUGAGUUUAUGUGA